UACGAAGGGUGCAAGCGUUACUCGGAAUCACUGGGCGUAAAGCGUGCGUAGGCGGUUCGUUAAGUCUGCUGUGAAAGCCCUGGGCUCAACCUGGGAACUGCAGUGGAUACUGGCGGACUAGAGUGUGAUAGAGGAUGGUGGAAUUCCCGGUGUAGCGGUGAAAUGCGUAGAUAUCUGGAGGAACAUCAGUGGCGAAGGCGACACCCUGGACUCAUACUGACACUGAGGUGCGAAAGCGUGGGGAGCAAACAGG
rnacentral:rRNA from 1 species